CUGUCGUCAGCUCGUGUCGUGAGAUGUUGGGUUAAGUCCCGCAACGAGCGCAACCCACGUAUUUAGUUGCUAACGGUUCGGCCGAGCACUCUAAAUAGACUGCCUUCGUAAGGAGGAGGAAGGUGUGGACGACGUCAAGUCAUCAUGGCCCUUAUGCCCAGGGCGACACACGUGCUACAAUGGCAUAUACAAUGAGACGCAAUACCGCGAGGUGGAGCAAAUCUAUAAAAUAUGUCCCAGUUCGGAUUGUUCUCUGCAACUCGAGAGCAUGAAGCCGGAAUCGCUAGUAAUCGUAGAUCAGCCAUGCUACGGUGAAUACGUUCCCGGGUCUUGUACUCACCGCCCGUCACACCAUGGGAGUUGAUUUCACUCGAAGCCGGAAUACUAAACUAGUUACCGUCCACAGUGGAAUCAGCGACUGGGGUGAAGUCGUAACAAGGUAACCGUAGGAGAACCUGCGGUUGGAUCACCUCCUUUCUAG
rnacentral:rRNA from 1 species